GAUGAACGCUGGCGGCGUGCCUAAUACAUGCAAGUCGAGCGAACGGACGAGACGCUUGCUUUUCUGAUGUUAGCGGCGGACGGGUGAGUAACACGUGGAUAACCUACCUAUAAGACUGGGAUAACUUCGGGAAACCGGAGCUAAUACCGGAUAAUAUUUUGAACCGCAUGGUUCAAAAGUGAAAGACGGUCUUGUUGUCACUUAUAGAUGGAUCCGCGCUGCAUUAGCUAGUUGGUAAGGUAACGGCUUACCAAGGCAACGAUGCAUAGCCGACCUGAGAGGGUGAUCGGCCACACUGGAACUGAGACACGGUCCAGACUCCUACGGGAGGCAGCAGUAGGGAAUCUUCCGCAAUGGGCGAAAGCCUGACGGAGCAACGCCGCGUGAGUGAUGAAGGUCUUCGGAUCGUAAAACUCUGUUAUUAGGGAAGAACAUAUGUGUAAGUAACUGUGCACAUCUUGACGGUACCUAAUCAGAAAGCCACGGCUAACUACGUG
rnacentral:rRNA from 1 species